AACGCAUAUUGCGCUCUUUGGUAUUCCGAAGAGCAUGCUUGUUUGAGUAUCAGUAAACACCUCAACACUCUCGAUUUGUUUCGAAUGAGUGUUGGAUUUGAGCAAACCCAACGCCUUUCUGCUAGUCAGACUUGCGGCGGGUUGCUUGAAAUGCAGGUGCAGCUGAGUUUUCUUCUGAGCUAAUAGCAUACUUAAUUAGUCCCGUAAAAAGGAUUAUUAAUCUGCUGAAGCUUACACCAAAGGAAGAGCUCUUGGCUGACUGAUGCAGAAUUACGCUUAGCUGGCAACAGCUUUGUAAAACUCGAUCUCAAAUCAAGUAAGACUACCCGCUGAACUUAA
rnacentral:misc_RNA from 1 species